rnacentral:rRNA from 1 species
AAUAGAUACCCCGGUAGUCCAUGCCGUAAACGAUGUCUACUAGCCGUUGGGGCCUUUGAGGCUUUAGUGGCGCAGCUAACGCGAUAAGUAGACCGCCUGGGGAGUACGGUCGCAAGACUAAAACUCAAAUGAAUUGACGGGGGCCCGCACAAGCGGUGGAGCAUGUGGUUUAAUUCGAUGCAACGCGAAGAACCUUACCUGGUCUUGACAUAGUAAGAACUUUCCAGAGAUGGAUUGGUGCCUUCGGGAACUUACAUACAGGUGCUGCAUGGCUGUCGUCAGCUCGUGUCGUGAGAUGUUGGGUUAAGUCCCGCAACGAGCGCAACCCUUUUCCUUAUUUGCCAGCGGGUUAAGCCGGGAACUUUAAGGAUACUGCCAGUGACAAACUGGAGGAAGGCGGGGACGACGUCAAGUCAUCAUGGCCCUUACGACCAGGGCUACACACGUGCUACAAUGGUCGGUACAAAGGGUUGCUACCUAGCGAUAGGAUGCUAAUCUCAAAAAGCCGAUCGUAGUCCGGAUUGGAGUCUGCAACUCGACUCC